AUGGCGGAGGUGGUCAUGGGCAAAGAAAAGCGCCGGCAGCAGCCGCUCCUCUGGCUGCCCCUGUCUCGCAUCCGGGUCAUCAUGAAGAGCUUCCCGAGGUGUCCAGCGUCCACCAGGAGGCGCUGGUGCUCACGGCCAAGGCAAUGGAACUCUGUUCAAUAUCUAGCCCCCUUUUCAUAAAGACAAAGACAUGGCAGUGCGAAGGAAAAGAAAACACUGACAGCGAUUUAGCAAAUACUGCAGAGGAAUCAGAAACUUUUCAAUUUCUUGAAGAUAUAUUGCCAAAGAAGAUUUUAGCUAGUAAAUACCCGAAAAUACUUAAAGAGGAAAGAGGGAAAAAGAUGAGGAGAAUGACAAUGAUAAUGAAAGUGACCAUGACCAAGUUGAAUCCUAA
rnacentral:lncRNA from 10 species